UGCGGCUGUGUUUUAAAAGAU
rnacentral:piRNA from 1 species